AAGUCGUAACAAGGUUUCCGUAGGUGAACCUGCGGAAGGAUCAUUAAAAAUUGCAAGCCGGUCUCGCGCCGCGCCCUCGCAAACCAAUGUGAACUCACCCGUUGCUUCGGCGGCAUGCCCUCGGGCUGUUAGCCCGUCCGGAGCCCAACCAAAACCACUUCUGUAAACUGCAGUCAGACACGAUAAAGUAAAUCGUUAAAA
rnacentral:misc_RNA from 1 species